rnacentral:lncRNA from 1 species
CUUGGUCAAUGUUGAUUGACUUUGUCAAGUUAAUAUCAUUGGAUUUAGGGGAUUGAUGGAAUGUACAUUCCAUCUCCCAAAGUGAAUGGAUGAUAUUAAUUUGGUAAAAUUUCUCCUUUGGUUAAUUUGUGAUCUCAUUCAUCCCCUUCCCACUUUCAUCUAAUUCCCAUUCUUCUUCAUUCAUUUCCAUUUGGCCUAUGACAUAUCAAAGUCCUAAUGCUAGUUGAUUGAAAGAUUAACAUGAGUAUCCGACCUCCGAC